rnacentral:rRNA from 1 species
UGGGACCCUAGUGGCGGACGGGUGAGUAACGCGUGGGUAACCUGCCCCAUACCGGGGGAUAACACUUAGAAAUAGGUGCUAAUACCGCAUAAGCGCACGGUACUGCAUGGUACAGUGUGAAAAACUCCGGUGGUACGGGAUGGACCCGCGUCUGAUUAGCUUGUUGGCGGGGUAACGGCCCACCAAGGCGACGAUCAGUAGCCGGCCUGAGAGGGCGGACGGCCACACUGGGACUGAGACACGGCCCAGACUCCUACGGAAGGCAGCAG